rnacentral:rRNA from 1 species
GACAGAGGGUGCAAACGUUGUUCGGAAUUACUGGGCGUAAAGCGCAUGUAGGCGGCCAAGCAGGUCGGAUGUGAAAUCCCUCGGCUCAACCAAGGAAGUGCAUUCGAAACCGCAUGGCUCGAGUCCCGGAGAGGAAGGUGGAAUUCUCGGUGUAGAGGUGAAAUUCGUAGAUAUCGAGAGGAUCACCGGUGGCGAAAGCGGCCUUCUGGACGAGGACUGACGCUGAGAUGCGAAAGCGUGGGGAGCGAACAGG